CUGCCACACUCAGAGUCAUUUAAUGAUUACUUAAAGUAUUCCUUAGUAACGAUUUUGUAUCGAAAACAAUUACUAAGGACUGGGUUAAGUUACUAUUAAAUGACUCUGAGUAUGGCGGUUAAUGUAACCUUGAGAUCCUUUAAUUAACACUUAAGUUCAGUCGUCCCAAAAAAAUAACAAAUAUGGACCAGAAUGUAAUGAAUAAUUUCUUUAUUUAGGACAGUAGUUGGACGUUGGAGAAUCUUCAUUCCCGUAUCGACGGGCGGUGACGGCAGUCGUGUGCGAACACUAAUUAUAAUUACAGUUUACAAACAAGACACAUUGUUGUGAAGUUUACAUUAUAAACAAAAACAGUAUUUGUAUUUGUUUGUCUGUGCAUCUGUGGCUGCUGCAGUUGACUAGUUACUUCCAUGUUGAUAUCAAGUGCAAUAUGAGGCGAGGAACGGUAUUAAUUCUGGUGCUGUGUACUUUUCUCCUGAUAAACCAAGUCUCCAGCCACAUACUACCGGCCAUCGGCAACUUUUUCCGAAAUGCUCUUUCCACGGACGAACAGAAGAAUGCCACUACAAACCAAAUGUCAGACGAUUAUAAAAAAUACAGCUAUAUCAUAACUACGUAUUUAUAGUAUUAGUAAAACAUUAGUAGGUACCUAUUAAUAAAUUGUUCAGCUGUACAAAAUAUUAAGCAUGUGUGUUUUCCAACACUUUCUUAAUAUGCAAAAGAAACAGCAAUGUCAAAGUUGCUUUUUGAGUUUUUAAAUCCAUUCAUAAAUAAGCAAAGUAUGUGGUAAAAAAAAAUGGAAUAAAGGUACGCGUCCAUAGGCCCGCAUCGUACGCACCGCACGCAACGGAUUUUAGUUUGUCUUGUAUAGAAACUCAUACAACUGCGUCCACUGAUCCGCAUCGUACGCACCGCAUCAUCAGCAAUGCCUACAUACGAUGCGUACUGAUGACGUCAUACGGAAUGCGUACGAUGCAUGCGAUGCGUACGAUGCGGGCCUGUUAAUCUUUGAAACACUGAACAUUAGAUAAACUUCUGAACUACUUAUAGUAAAAUUUUGUAUAAAACAUUCUAGAUUGGUUUGUUUUGUAAUGAUAAUUUCUAAGUAAUUAGGGAAAGCUAGUGUUUGAAUGUGAAUAAAUUACAAGUGCCAAUGAGUUAACGUAAUGCUUCCUAUAUUAAUCUUAGCUCCAAACAUAAUGUGAUAUACCUGUAUAAUGACAUAACUAUUAGUGUAUAAGGAACUAUUUAUUUUGAUACACAAUAUUGUAUACAAGUGAAUCUCAGAAAUAAAUGUUUAAAAAUAAAGUGACAAUGUUUUUGAGUUGCUAUUAA